rnacentral:lncRNA from 1 species
AAAGGUGCAAAAAGUUGCGUGAAGUGUCUAAUUAUUUAUACCGACUGUCUCUAGAGCAAGUGAUAAAGGAUUUGAUGGUUGGUACCCGAGACCCAAGUUCGAAUCCUAGUUGAUUCACAUUUUUAGCUAAGUUUAUUUCUAAAUGAAAUAAAUAAAGCGGGUAACAUGCUACCUAUCUCUCAAAAGAAAAAAAAAAAAAAAGUGUCUAAUUAUUU